GACGAACGCUGGCGGCGUGCUUAACACAUGCCAGUCGAACGGAAAGGCCCUGCUUUUGUGGGGUGCUCGAGUGGCGAACGGGUGAGUAACACGUGAGUAACCUGCCCUUGACUUUGGGAUAACUUCAGGAAACUGGGGCUAAUACCGGAUAGGAGCUCCUGCUGCAUGGUGGGGGUUGGAAAGUUUCGGCGGUUGGGGAUGGACUCGCGGCUUAUCAGCUUGUUGGUGGGGUAGUGGCUUACCAAGGCUUUGACGGGUAGCCGGCCCGGGAGGGUGACCGGCCACAUUGGGACUGAGAUACGGCCCGGACUCCUACGGGAGGCAGCAGUGGGGAAUAUUGCACAAUGGGCGGAAGCCUGAUGCAGCAACGCCGCGUGCGGGAUGACGGCCUUCGGGUUGUAAACCGCUUUCGCCUGUGACGAAGCGUGAGUGACGGUAAUGGGUAAAGAAGCACCGGCUAACUACGUG
rnacentral:rRNA from 1 species